UACAGAGGUCCCAAGCGUUGUUCGGAUUCACUGGGCGUAAAGGGUGCGUAGGCGGUCGGGUAAGUCUGAUGUGAAAUCUCACAGCUUAACUGUGAAACUGCAUUGGAUACUAUCCGGCUCGAGGAAUGGAGGGGAGACUGGAAUACUUGGUGUAGCAGUGAAAUGCGUAGAUAUCAAGUGGAACAUCAGUGGCGAAGGCGAGUCUCUGGACAUUUCCUGACGCUGAGGCACGAAAGCCAGGGGAGCGAACGGG
rnacentral:rRNA from 1 species